rnacentral:lncRNA from 1 species
CAUUCCAGUUGCCAGCGGGACAAAGUGGACAACCUAGUAAAGUUUUGUGUAUAAGUUAUCCACCCUCUGUCCAUGUUGAUGAAGACAUGCUACACAAUGCUAUGAUUUUGUUUGGUGAGAUUGAUGGAAUAAAAACAUUUUAUGAUAGAAAUUACUCAUUGGUUGAAUUUAGAAGCAUAGAGGAAGCCCAGCGUGCUAAAGAGGGGUUGCAGGGCAAGCUUUUCAAUGAUCCCAGAAUCACAAUAGAAUAUUCAAGCAGUGGUCCUGCACCUGGCAGAGAUUUCUUGGAGUAUCAUCCUUCAAUUAUGGGCCCAGCACCUGAUUUUUAUCCCAAUGAAAACCCAUUCCAACAAGCACAGAUGGGCUUAUUUGGCCAUAGUCGCCCUAUUUUGGCUUCUAAUGUACCUGGGCAUUUGCCACCUUAUGGUAUUCAUGGUCCUGAUAUCCCAGCAAGGCCUUUGGGUACGCAAGGCAGGUUUGACCCUGUUAUUUCAGGCCCAGAAUUUACUGAUUCACCAGUGCUUCGGAAAUUGCGAGACACAAGUCCUCAUACUGUGAUUGGAGGUCCAAAUUGGAAGCAGUCAUCUCCAACACCGGUGGUGCUUUCUUCUCCUUCAGGUGAGCAGAAACCACCUAAUAGAUCUGCCCUUGGUGGCUGGGAUGUUUUCGAUUCUAGCCAACAUCAGAGGGAAACUAAAAGAUCAAGGAUUGAUGGGGCUUUGCCAUAUGAUAGUUCUCUCCCUCCUAAAAGAACAGAUGGUCGAGCUCCUGGUCAUGACUAUAUAUGGCGCGGCGUUAUCGCCAAGGGUGGAACACCUGUUUGUCAUGCUCGCUGUGUGCCUAUUGGGGAAAGGAUAGAAUCGGAGAUGUAAGUAUUUUGUAUUUUUCUUGUUUGCUAAAGAUCAGGUUUUUGAAUUGCCUCACUGAUUCAACACUGUACAGAUUUCUCAGCUUGUUGAUGGGGGUCACUUUUCAUCUUUCCAAAUUUGCUUUUCAAUUGAUCGCUACAGUGAUUUCUAACCUUUUGUUGGAUUUUUUUUUUGGGGGUGGGGGGUGCGGGUUUCUUCACAGAAUUAUUGUGAAACUUAAUCUGAAAUAUGUUCGAGAAAAGGUUAUCAAGAUAACUUGCUGCUAGCAUUGGCAUGUGCAUGAUUCUUCUUUGGCUACUUGAAAUUUUUCUUAAAUAAUAUUUAUGGUCUUGCGUGGUACCACUAACUUGGAACUAAUGUGUACGACUUUUAUUAUUUUUUCUUCAUUCAGUUGCAUGCACCGUAUUACUUCUAAUAGGUUUAAUAUACUUAAGUCCUGUGAUAUAGCACUCAAAUGCCACCACAAAAUAAAUAAGGAACAGUCAAGUGAUGAAAUGUUAUUUUCUGCAGUCCUGAGGUAGUCAAUUGCUCCGCCAGAACAGGAUUAGACAUGCUAACUAAACACUACGCAGAUGCUGUUGGGUUCAAUAUUGUUUAUUUCUUGCCGGAUAGCGAAGAGGAUUUUGCUUCGUAUACAGAGUUUUUGAGGUACCUGGGUUCAAAAGAUCGUGCUGGGGUUGCAAAAUUUGGUGAUGGGACCACCAUGUUCUUGGUGCCACCUUCUGACUUCCUUACGAAAGUUCUGAAAGUUGUUGGUCCAGAGCGUCUUUAUGGGGUGGUUUUAAAGUUUGCACAUCAUAUACCUGGUAACACAUCUUUGCCACCAGAGUCCAAUCAACCUCAAUAUGUAGAUGCACCACGGAUAACAUCCUCUCAACCUGCGUAUGAUGCAAUGCCAUCCAUGGAAAGGGUUUCACAGAUGAACUAUAAUCAGGUUACCCGAGAAGAUCUGAAGCUGCCUUCAAAAGACGUCAGUUCUCUAACUGAUGCGCGCCCCGCAAAUCCUGCGCAGCCAAGUAAUACUGCAGCAUACCCUGUGAAUCCUGUGCAUCAAAGCAAUACUUCAGCGUCAACCCAAGCAGGGGUCACUUUAACACCUGAACUUAUUGCAACCCUAGCAAAGAUGCUACCAGCUAACAAGUUAUCAAGUGUGGAAGGGGCAACCGUGCCUGCCGGAGCAUCUGCCGGGAUGCCUGCAUCAGAUGUUGCUGUUGCACCUGGUAAAGUGCAGCAACAAUCUUGGAGAUAUGAACUUCAAGCUCCUGGUCAAGCUGCCGAUCACAUGGCACAGUUUGGUAGCCAGUUUAACAACCAUACGCAAGUUUUACCACAGCUUCAAGCUCAUCCAGCAGGCUUGAACACACCUAACCAUUAUUCUCAAGGGGCCACUGGUUUUAGCCAAAUGCAAGAGCAUAGCCUAAACUUGCGAGCACAAGGUGGUCCUCCCCAGACAUUGACAUCGACCAUGAUUUCUCAAAGUACACAGCUCUCAGCUCAGCCCCAUGUUGAUCGCCACCGUCAGCUUGGAACACAUCAGGAUGCUGUGAGUGGUUCUGGGACUCAUAGCGCUGAUGCCUUAGGACUGUAUGGUUCAUCUGUCUCUCAGCAACCAACAAAUCUUGCUUCAUUGCCCAACCAAACUCAUGGUGCUAAUGUUCCUCAGCCACAGGCUGGCAUGCCUGUUACCUCUGGGAUGGGGCUCGCAACUCAAAUGCAUCAGUUGCAAUCUGCACUUUAUGGAUCAGUACAGGAGGGACCAGAAUCAGAGGUUGACAAGAAUGAACGCUACCAGGCAACUCUAUUAUUUGCAGCUAAUCUACUCUCUCAGAUACACAAGCAGAAGCCAAGUAGUCAAAGUGGGCAAGGGUCAGGCAAUCAUUGAGAAGAUCUCCUUAAGCUAGGUA